rnacentral:misc_RNA from 1 species
GUGAGUCAUCGAAUCUUUGAACGCACAUUGCACCUAAUGGCUUUGUCAUUUGGUAUACUUGUUUGAGUAUCGUAACUCCUUUCUCUCCUUUUCCAAUGGUGACAACACUUGUUGCUUCCGUUGUUGAUUUAGUGAGGAUUUGAAAGUCUGACUAAAGUUGUUAACUUUUGACCAGUUAGUCUUUCUAAAAUCAUGCUUGAAAAGGCCGAUCUAGUCCUCGUUAAGACUGUUUGGUGUAUACCGUUCACCACUUCGUCUUAAGGUCUAAUGGGAUAAAUCUCUUCGUUAGGCUACUAGACA